AGAGCGAACGCUGGCGGCAGGCCUAACACAUGCAAGUCGAACGGUUCUUCGGAACAGUGGCGGACGGGUGAGUAACACGUGGGAACGUACCUUUUGGUUCGGAACAACACAGGGAAACUUGUGCUAAUACCGGAUAAGCCCUUAGGGGGAAAGAUUUAUCGCCGAAAGAGCGGCCCGCGUUAGAUUAGCUAGUUGGUGAGGUAAAGGCUCACCAAGGCUACGAUCUAUAGCUGGUCUGAGAGGAUGAUCAGCCACAUUGGGACUGAGACACGGCCCAAACUCCUACGGGAGGCAGCAGUGGGGAAUCUUGCGCAAUGGGCGAAAGCCUGACGCAGCCAUGCCGCGUGAAUGAUGAAGGUCUUAGGAUUGUAAAAUUCUUUCAGUAGGACGAUAAUGACGGUACCUACAGAAGAACGCCCCGGCUAACUUCGCGCCAGCAGCCGC
rnacentral:rRNA from 1 species